rnacentral:tRNA from 1 species
AAGAAAGUGACAGAGAGGUCAUGUGGCUGUCUUGAAAUCAGCAUAUGGGGGUUCAAUUCCUUCCUUUCUCG